GACGAACGCGGGCGGCGUGCCUAAUACAUGCCAGUUGAGCGCUGAAGGUUGGUGCUUUUACCUACUGGAUGAGCAGCGAACGGGUGAGUAACGCGUGGGGAAUCUGCCUUUGAGCGGGGGACAACAUUUGGAAACGAAUGCUAAUACCGCAUAAAAACUUUAAACACAAGUUUUAAGUUUGAAAGAUGCAAUUGCAUCACUCAAAGAUGAUCCCGCGUUGUAUUAGCUAGUUGGUGAGGUAAAGGCUCACCAAGGCGAUGAUACAUAGCCGACCUGAGAGGGUGAUCGGACACAUUGGGACUGAGACACGGCCCAACAUCCUACGGGAGGCAGCAGUAGGGAAUCUUCGGCAAUGGAAGAAAGUCUGACCGAGCAACGACGCGUGAGUGAAGAAGGGUUUCGGAUCGGAAAACUCUGUUGGUAGAGAAGAACGUUGGUGAGAGUGGAAAGCGCAUCCAGUGACGGUAACUACACAGAAAGGGACGGCUAACUACGUG
rnacentral:rRNA from 1 species